UGCCGCCUGGACAAGGCUUUGCCAUGUUAAAAACGGGAGGUUUCACUCACAGUAAAUACCUAUCAACUGUGGUAUUCAUUCGUGUCGGAGCAAAUGAAAUGCGAAUGCUUAUGAAAACGCAACAACACAAAGGACAAAAAUAGAGUGAAGCAUUCCAUAUUUGCUCAGUCGUCAGAACACCGUUCGACAGUGAAUAUAGCCACUUGUGAAGUAACCAAAGUCGAGAAAAAAUAACUAAUAAAUCUCUAAAUAAUUAUCUCCAGUUCUAUUUAUUUUGAAGUGAAUAUUUAUCUAGAACAGCGUUCAAACAUCGAUUAGUUGCUGCGUAGUUUCAUUUGCUUUCAAGGCAACCACCAGGCAGAACAAAGGAAAGCAAUAUGUCGGAAGUACACUUUGAUGAGUACGAAAAGUACAACGUUGAUUUCGACAAGUACGUGUUCUCCGGUCACUCGGGAAAGCAACGAUCCAAGAAGGAAGCUAGUGAACAUACGAAUCAUUUCGAUCCCAGCGGUCAUUCCAGAAAAAUAACCACCAAACUGCGUAAUACCGAGCAAAAUCGAAAGGAAAAAUCGAAGAACUAACAUUGAUGCAAUUGAUAUGCCAGCCUUUUUUCUUCUUCUUCGCUAUUUAAGCUGAUAAACUUGUGCAACACUGGGAAAUAAUGUGAAUAAACGAUGGAUUAUAAAAAAA